rnacentral:rRNA from 1 species
CAAUAGCGUAUAUUAAAGCUGUUGCGGUUAAAAAGCUCGUAGUUGGAUUUCUGUCAAGGACAACUGGUCCGCCCUCCGGGUGAGCACAUAGUUUGGUCUUGACAUCUUGCUGGAAGCUGUCGCUGCACUUGGCUGUGUGGCGCAGUGUUCAGCACUUUCACUUUGAGGAAAUUGGAGUGUUUCAAGCAGGCACAUGCCUUUGGACACAGUAGCAUGGAAUAAUUAGAUUGGGCUUUUGCUCCAAUUUGUCGGUUUCUGGAGCUGAGGUGAGUAUUAAUGGGGAUUGUUGGGGGCAUCCGAAUUUAGCCGUCAGAGGUGAAAUUCUUGGAUCUGCUAAAGACGGACAACUGCGAAAGCGUUUGCCCAGGAUGUUUUCAUUGA